CGAACGGGUGAGGAACACGUGAGAAACCUGCCUUUCAUUCUGGGAUAACACCGGGAAACCGGUGCUAAUACCGGAUACUCCAUCUUGGCGGCAUCGCCGAGCUGGGAAAAAAUUUUGAUGAAAGAUGGUCUCGCGGCCUAUCAGCUUGUUGGUGGGGUAAUGGCCUACCAAGGCGACGACGGGUAGCCGGCCUGAGAGGGCGACCGGCCACACUGGGACUGAGACACGGCCCAGACUCC
rnacentral:rRNA from 1 species